rnacentral:rRNA from 1 species
GUUUGCCUACGGGACGCAGCAGUAGGGAAUUUUCGUCAAUGGGCGCAAGCCUGAACGAGCAAUGCCGCGUGAACGAGGAAGGUCUUCGGAUCGUAAAGUUCUGUUGAAGGGGAAAAAGAGCGGAGAGAGGAAAUGAACUCCGAUUGAUAUUACCCUUCGAGGAAGUCACGGCUAUCUACGUGCCAGCAGCCGCGGUAAUACGUAGGGGGCGAGCGUUGUCCGGAAUGACUGGGCGUAAAGGGAGUGUAGGCGGCAAUAUAAGUUAGAUGUGAAAUCCCGCGGCUCAACCGCGGAACUGCAUCUAA